UUUAUACCGCCCAGUUUAUGUAAUAACAAUGAUUCAUAUCAGAUGGCGUUGUAAUUUGUACAUCACUUGAAUAUACAGGAGUUUUCUGGCUCUGCUUUGUCAUGGACAUGCAAGCUUCUAAUGGAAUGGAUAUUUGUAUGAAUUCAGUGUAUGCUUCCAUCCCUGGAUUACCGGAAUUAGGGAUGGUAUGGAUGGGAGAUAUGAUGGUACAUGGAGAACCAACACAUGAACUUAUGUUGGAUCCACGUCAAGCUGAAAGUCCAUUCUUUUCUCAUGGUUCAAAUCCAUAUGAAGACAUUAGGAAUCAUCAAAUUGCACCUACAACUAUGGUACGGUACCUACCACCUCAGUUUCCUAAUGAAUGUUCAGAACCUGAUGAAGCUAUGGAAGCUGUUGAUGCCCAAGAAAUACAACAGGAAUAUGAUUCACAAUCUGAAAGGCAAGAAAUGACAGAAUAUUUGACAUUAGAAGAUUAUAUGGGUGAUGAAGAACGGGAACAAGUUGUAAACAAUGCAGCAACACAAACUACUCAGGACAAUCGUAAUAGAAAAAUAAAACCUAUAAAACAUCCUGGAUUGGUUUUAAAAACACCAAUUGCAUAUCAACCACAUACAGAUUUAAAUUUUAUUCCCAUUCGUAAGGAUGGUAUAGCUGUUUGUGAAAAAUGUGGUGCUAUUGGUGUAAAACAUGCAUUUUACACCAAAGAACGUCGAUUUUGCAGUAGAGCAUGUGCAAGAUCUUCAGAACAUACUGCUCCUACUGCUGAUUCUACAUAUAGUCCAUCUCAUUCAAUAGAAGCACCUACAUCUCUAAAUUCAUCAUCUCCAAAUGAAUCUAAAGUAAUGAAAAAUGCCAUAGUAAAAGAAGAAACAGAUAUAAAAGAAUCUUCUGAACUUGAAAAAGAGAAAGUUAUAUCUGAACUAGUAAUGCCAGAGGAUUUACCUGUAAGAAGAAAAAGAACUGCUGAAAUGGCAGGUUCUUAUGAUUGGACUCCACAAUUAAUUGAACCUGGAUUUUGUGCUGCUCCAGUAUCUUGCUUUAAACAUGCACCUAUAUCAGAAAUAUGGGAUAAUAUCACAGUUGGCAUGAAAGUAGAAGUAGAAAAUACUGAUUGUGAUGAAGUAUGUGAAGCUUUUCCAGAUUCUUUUUGGGUUGCUACUGUAUUACGUAUAUCUGGAUAUAGAGCUUUAUUAAGGUAUGAAGGUUUUGGACUUAAUGCUGACAAAGAUUUUUGGGUAUCAUUGUGCUCGAAUGAUAUACAUCCAGUAGGUUGGUGUGCAACAAUUGGCAAACCUCUUAUUCCACCUAAUACAAUUGCUAAUAAAUACAAAGACUGGAAAGAUUUUCUAAUGAGACGAUUAACAGGUGCAAGAACACUGCCAACUAAUUUUUAUAAUAAAGUUAAUGAUAGUAUGAAGUCGCGUUUUAGAUGUGGACUUCACUUAGAAGUAGUAGACAAAAAUAGAAUCUCGCAAGUAAAAGUAGCAACAAUACAAAAAAUUGUGGGUAAACGGUUACAUGUACGAUAUUAUGAUUCACCACCCGAAGAUAAUGGUUUUUGGUGCCACGAAGAUUCCCCGCUUAUACAUCCCGUUGGUUGGGCUAAACGUAUAGGACAAACAUUGGAUGCAUAUCCUGAAUAUUUAGAGCGUGUGUCAAAAUCAAAAUUGUGUGAAGAUGAUGCGACUGAAGAUCUCUUCUAUGUGCCAAAGAACCAUCACGUACAUCUUGGAUAUACAUUUCGAGAAGGAAUGAAAGUAGAAGCUAUUGAUCCUCUUAAUCUUUCUGCCAUAUGUGCAGCAACAGUUAUGCAAGUUUUAAAAGAAGAUUAUAUAAUGAUCCGCAUAGAUAGUUAUGAUGAAGAUGCAAGUGGUGCUGAUUGGUUUUGCUAUCAUUCAUGUUCACCUUGUAUCUUUCCAAUUGGAUUUUGUUCUCAACAUGGAUUACCACUUACACCACCAAAGGGUUAUGAUCCUACUACAUUUACAUGGGAUGCAUAUUUAACAGAGACAAAUACUAUACCUGCUCCUGUGCAGUUAUUUAAUAGGGAAAUACCUCAACAUGGAUUUAUUGAAGGAAUGAGACUUGAAGCUGCUGAUCUAAUGGAUCCUAGAUUAGUUUGUGUUGCUACUAUUACUAGGGUAAUUGGAAGGUUAUUAAGAGUACACUUUGAUGGUUGGGAGGAUGAAUAUGAUCAAUGGUUAGAUUGUCAGAGUCCUGACAUUUAUCCAGUUGGAUGGUGUGACCUUGUUGAUCAUAAAUUAGAAGGGCCCCGUGUACUCAAUAAAAACACUAGUCCUACUGUAAAAUCACCAAGAGGCCUUAAACGUAAAGCUAAGAGAAAAUUGAAGAAAAGCAACAAAGUAUCUUGCGCGAAAAACAUUCUACCUCGGCACAGUGAACGUAUCAGCAUGGCUCGCGAACGCGAACGCGAAGUUGAGCCUGCUCAAGGAAUAAAAAUUGAAAGAGAAUGUGAUUUGGAAAGUCUACCAGAACAAAGAAAUAGGGAACCAGAACCAGCAGAAGAGCCAGCUGGACCUGAUCAAACUUUACCCAGUCCUACUACUGGACAAGGUCAAGCAUUAAAUGAUACUCAAAGUGAGAUACAAAGUCCUCCACCACCAAAAGAACGAACCGCAACAUCCUAUAUUAAUGUAACAUCUGCCUCUAGCAAAUACAUCCCAAGGCUAGCAGAUGGUGUUCAAAAAAGUUCUGAAUCUGGUGACUUAGUGCCAUCUGAGUGGAAUGUGUUUGAUGUUGCACAAUUUCUUCGUGUUAACGAUUGUGCAACAUAUUGCGAUAAUUUUAGUAAACGUAAAAUAGAUGGAAAAACUCUAUUGACACUUACUAAGGACCAAAUAAUAGACCUUACAGGUUUUAAAGUUGGGCCUUCUUUAAAAAUAUAUGAUCUUAUUCAACAAUUGAAAAUCAAAGUGAAUCCAGCUCAGGAAAGGUUGAAAUUAGGAUUGAAAAAGUUAUUAUAACAAAGAUAGUACAUAGUUAAUACCAUGAAUAAGUUCCAUCAUUGCAUACAAAUAAACAUGGAUUUACAGGUAAGGCAUGUAGAAGCAAGUAAUUAAAAUUCAUGUUUCAUCAUGGUUAUAUACAGUGUUUGUUAUAUGCUUUAUUAUUAAUAUAUAUAUAUAUAUAUAUAUAUAUAUAUAUAUGUAUGUAUAUACACAUGUAUAUAUACAGGAUAUUUGAAUGAAAUAUAUAGAUACAUUUAAGGAAUAAUUUUAAAAACUGAAACGAACACAAAAGUUGAUAUGCAAAAAUGUCUGAUAAAAUUUAUUUUUUAAGUUAUAAGCAAAUUAAUUUUGCACUAGAUGAAGAAAAAUGGAAAUAGAGUAUGACAAAAAUAGAAUAAUUUCAUGCUUUUUUUUAGUACAAAAUUAUUUAUAAUUUAAAAAAUAAGCUUUCUUUGACAAUUUCUUUAAAAAUUUUGCAUAUUAAUAUUUAUAUUUAUUUCGGCCUUUAAAAUUAUCCCUUAAAUUUUCUAUCUAUUUUGUCCAAAUAUCUUGUAUAUAAGUAUAUGUAUAAAUAAAUAUAUAUACACAUAUGUAUCAAAAUUGCUAAAAAUAGAGAUUUUGCUCUCUCAUCAAUAUCAAUUUGAGAAGAAUAACAUUCAUUUAAAAAAAGAAAGAAAUUCAUUAAGGAAAAGAGGGAGAAAAAAUUAUUUCGAUUUAAAAUUACAUAAAUAAUUUAAAAUAUAUUUACUUAUAUAUUUAAAAGAAAGAAAGAAAAAUAAUUUUAUUAAAAAAUUAAUAUUUUAAAAUAUUUUCUCUUUUAAAAAUUUAUAUUUUCUUUCAAGAUUAUCUGAAAAUUAAAUAGAUAAAUUUUCUUAAAAUAGCAAAAACACUGUAAAAUUAUAAAUAUAUUAUUUCUUUUUAUAUUAAAAUAAAAUACAAUAAUUAUUUCAAUGUAUCCAACUAAAGAUGAAUUCUAGAAUGAAAAGAUUUACAUAAAUUCAUAAUUUUAUGUAGUUUGACUUUCCAACUUAAUAUUCUAACAAUCUGAUAGAAAAAUAAAAUGAAAAUUCAUAUUUAUAUUUAUGUAAAUUGUUAUCUGAAAUAUUAAGAGAAAAUUUGUCAUGUUACAUUUACAUAUUUUGAUGUAUAUUAGAAGUUAAUUAUUCUAGCAAUUUUUUAAUUUUUCACGACGCCGUUAUUUGUAAAUCCAUGCUUUCACGUUGCACUAAAUUGAUUGCAGAUGCAUGAACCACAUUUAAAAAAAAUGCUAAUAUAUUUAAGAAUUUUUUUUAAACAAACCGAAAGUUAAAGAAUGUAAUUUAAAACAAAAAUUUAGGAGUAAAUCAACAAAAAUAUAUUAGUGUGGGAAAUAAAAAUAUAGUAAAAUGAAUCAUAAAGUACAAAUAACUUCUUGAAUAUCAAUUCAUUACAGUUUCAAUCAUAUUUGCCUUAAUCAUAUAAUUCGCAAUAUUAAAAUAGUUUUAUGUAUUUUAAUAAAUUUGUUGAUUUACUCUUUAUUGUAAUCAAGAACCACACACGCGAAUGUACAUAAUUAAAUAAAAAGAAAUGGUCAACUUCUAAUCAAUCUUGUAAAUAUAGCAUUUAGCACAGUAUUAGGUUUAGCUACUUUUUCUGAAAAAGAAUGAAGAGAUAACCACAGUAUAAAAGAAGCAUAAUUGUUAGAAAGUGGUUGAUGCAUUUGUAUAACAGAUAUUGUAUCUAUAUGUAGCUUUAUAAUCAUUACAGUAAAUCAAACCAGUCGAGCAAAGUCUGAGACUAAUUUGCCUUAGGCUCCUUAUAUACUAUUUUUAGUAUGAUAGAGUAACAUGGUUACUCUCUUUAUUUAUUCAAUAUUUUGGAAUCUCAUGAGGUACCAAUUUAAUUUGGUUCCAAACAUUUUCUUAGCAGUUAAUUGAUAAAAUAUUAGAUUCAAAACAUAUAAAUGAUCAUCUAGAUUUUAUAGUUAUGAUCAUACCAGAAUUUGAAUUGAAGUAAAGUGAAGUAUUUUCUUUUGUUAUGAUAAUGAGCGAUUUUACAUUAACAAUGUAAAAAUUUAUUAAUUCGGAGAAUAUUAUAUAGAUAUAUCUGCUGAAGAAAAAAUAAUGUUUUCUUAAAUCAUUGUGUACAAAUUGGGAGGCAUUAUAAAUAGUAUUACAAUUAGAAACAUACGAAGUUUGGAUUUUGUUUAAAAUAUAUUAAUCACACAUAACUAGAAAAGCAAUGUCUAAUUUAAAAAUAUGAAAAUAUUUAAAAAAAAAACAUUUUUCUUCUUAAAAAUUGUUUUAUAAUAAUUAGAUAAUUUAAGAUAUGCAAACGCACUAAUAAUGGAAAAUUAAAUGAUACGUGUAUUUAUGCAAUUUUUUUACACGAAACAUCGAGCAUUUAAAUAAUACUACAUACUAAUUAAAAUAAAACUGAAAAAAAGUCUAAAUGUGCACUUCUCUUUCUAAACAAAAAUAUUUUUUACUCAGUCAAAUAAUACUGAGUAAAUAGCUGUCUUAUAAUAUAUUAGUAAAAAUGCUUCAUGAUUUCA